rnacentral:lncRNA from 10 species
AUCAAUCUAGCUGCUGCUCACUCUUUGGGUCCGCCAUUGCCUUUAUGGGCUGUUAACGCUCACCGCGAAGGUCUGCAGCUUCCCUCCUGAAGCCAGCGAAACCACGAACCGACCGGGAGGAGCGAAUAACUCCAGACGCGCCACCUUAAUAGCUGUAACAGUCACCUCGAAGGUCCGCAACUUCACUCCUAAGCCAGCGAGAUCACGAACCCCACCAGAAGGAAGAAAUUCCGAACAUAUCCGCACAUCAGAAGGCACAAAUUCCGGACACGCCGCCUUUAAGAACUGUAACACUCACAGCGAGGGUCCGCGGCUUCAUUCUUGAAGUCAGUGAGACCAAGAACCCGCCAAUUCCGGACACACUAUGAUCAUACCACUGCACUCCAGCCUGGAGUACAAGGAAGAAAGAGUCUCACUGACUCCAGGAUUCUUGGCUUAGCCAUUACUCAAGCCACAAAUACUUCAGUUAUCCAGUGAGUCAGCAGCCUUCAACCACACUUUUAAAUAAAGGCCUUCUAUCAUGAUAUUUUUCAUAUGUGUUUUACUCCCUGUUGUAUACCCUAUAAAUGCUAAGCUGUUACGAUUUUUUUUUCCUCUCAUUUCUUUCUGCGGAGAUAGACCUGACAUUUCUUUCAAGAAGACUGUUACUUAUUUUCUACUAAGACUCAA